GAUGAACGCUGGCGGCGUGCCUAACACAUGCAAGUCGAACGGACGGACGAUAAGCUUGUGGCGUUGAUGUUAGCGGAGGGCGGGUGUGUAACGCGUGGAUAAUCCACUUAUAAGUCUGGGAUAAUCACGGAAAACCGGAUCUAAUACCGGAUAAUAUUCUGAACCGCAGGGGGCAAAGGUGAAAGACGGCCUUGCGGUCUCGUAUAGCGGGAUCCGCGCUGUAUUAGCUGGUUGGUAGGGUCAAGGCCUAUUAAGGCAACGAGGCGUGGCCGACGUGAGAGACGGAUCGGCGACCUGGGAACUGAGACAGGGUCCAGACGACUACGGGAGGCAGCAGUCGGGAAUGGGCGGCAAAGGGCGAAAGCAUGACGGAGUAAGGGCGAGUGUGUGAUGACGGCCUUGGGAUCGUAAAGCUCUGUUAUGGGGUAAGAACAGAUGUGUCAUGAGACGAAGCGUGCUUGACGGUACCUAAUCAAGAAGCACCGGCUAACUACGUG
rnacentral:rRNA from 1 species